AUCAGAUGCUAACAUCAGAAUGGAUGGGUAGGGGAGGUGUGUGGAGAGUGCAGACUCUUGGGCAACGCUGCAAAGAACAAUUAAAUAAUUGGAAAACAAAACCUUCAGGGAAGGGUUAAAGGAAAGGAGCUAUUUUGCCCGGAGAAGAGAAGGCUGAGCGAUGACCUAAUUAUAGGCUUCAAGUACAUGAAGAAUUAAUCUACAGCAGAUGGUGACCAGCUGUUUUCAAUUCCCAUUGAAUACAGUACAAGAGAAAAUUGGCUUAGAGAGUAAUAGAAAGGAUUUGAGAUAGAUAAAAGAAGGAAUUUACUGGGUUUUGAGGGUCAUAGAGGUUAAGAGGAGAUAGGCUCUGCUGCUUAGGGAGGUGAGAGCCACUCCUUCCCUGAGGUCUCCCCGGCAUGGAUUGGUUUGUUCAACUGCACUGAGGGAGAAAGAGCUCUGUUCUGUUAUGGAGAGGGCCAGUCUGGGUGUGUGGCUGGCUGUUCCUGACACCUGAGUCUUUCUUUUCCUCACUUGGACUUGUGUGGUUUAUUUUCCACAAGUCAUUAUCAGCACACUAAGCGGCAUUCGCCAGGUGACAGAUGUACGAUGAACAGAAUGAAAGAAAACAACAGAGGUUCCACUUCUCACCUUCCCAGUCGGCUUUGGCAGUGGGGAUCAAGCUGGAGUCCAGGCUAUUGUCCAAGCCUGUAAGCGCAUGGGAGGCAGCCAGCAGAGGGAGCUGCUGAGAGGAGAAGGCCUUGGAAGUGUGGCAAUCUCUGACGCCAUGAAUCAGGAAAAGCCAAGUUCAAACAAUCUUUCGAACUUCUGGAUUCUUUUGCACGGUCCCCAGAGUGAGUAAUUUUUUGGAUGCCAAAGCAAAGCAAAAAUAAAUUCUUUAGCCUA